AUUGAACGCUGGCGGAAUGCUUUACACAUGCAAGUCGAACGGCAGCACGGGGGCAACCCUGGUGGCGAGUGGCGAACGGGUGAGUAAUACAUCGGAACGUGCCCAGUCGUGGGGGAUAACUACGCGAAAGCGUAGCUAAUACCGCAUACGAUCUACGGAUGAAAGCGGGGGAUCGCAAGACCUCGCGCGAUUGGAGCGGCCGAUGGCAGAUUAGGUAGUUGGUGAGGAAAGGCUCACCAAGCCUUCGAUCUGUAGCUGGUCUGAGAGGACGACCAGCCACACUGGGACUGAGACACGGCCCAGACUCCUACGGGAGGCAGCAGUGGGGAAUUUUGGACAAUGGGCGCAAGCCUGAUCCAGCCAUUCCGCGUGCAGGAUGAAGGCCUUCGGUU
rnacentral:rRNA from 1 species